GACGAACGCUGGCGGCGUGCUUAACACAUGCAAGUCGAACGGAAAGGCCCUGCUUUUGUGGGGUGCUCGAGUGGCGAACGGGUGAGUAGCACGUGAGUAACCUGCCCUUGACUUUGGGAUAACUUCAGGAAACUGGGGCUAAUACCGGAUAGGAGCUCCUGCUGCAUGGUGGGGGUUGGAAAGUUUCGGCGGUUGGGGAUGGACUCGCGGCUUAUCAGCUUGUUGGUGGGGUAGUGGCUUACCAAGGCUUUGACGGGUAGCCGGCCUGAGAGGGUGACCGGCCACAUUGGGACUGAGAUACGGCCCAGACUCCUACGGGAGGCAGCAGUGGGGAAUAUUGCACAAUGGGCGGAAGCCGGAUGCAGCAACGCCGCGUGCGGGAUGACGGCCUUCGGGUUGUAAACCGCUUUCGCCUGUGACGAAGCGUGAGUGACGGUAAUGGGUAAAGAAGCACCGGCUAACUACGUG
rnacentral:rRNA from 1 species